rnacentral:rRNA from 1 species
UACGAAGGGGGCUAGCGUUGCUCGGAAUUACUGGGCGUAAAGGGCGCGUAGGCGGCGCAUUUAGUCAGGCGUGAAAGCCCUGGGCUCAACCUGGGGACUGCGCUUGAUACGGGUGUGCUAGAGGACGGAAGAGGGUCGCGGAAUUCCCAGUGUAGAGGUGAAAUUCGUAGAUAUUGGGAAGAACACCGGUGGCGAAGGCGGUGACCUGGUCCGUUACUGACGCUGAGGCGCGACAGCGUGGGGAGCAAACAGG